UGCUUAACACAUGCAAGUCGAACGCAACCUUCGGGUUGAGUGGCGGACGGGUGAGUAACGCGUGAGAAGUCUGCCUUGGGGUCGGGGACAAGCACUGGAAACGGUGGCUAAUACCGGAUAAGCCUUUGGGUAAAAAAUUUAUUGCCCCAAGAGGAGCUCGCGUCUGAUUAGCUAGUUGGUGAGGUAAAAGCUCACCAAGGCAGCGAUCAGUAGCUGGUCUGAGAGGACGAUCAGCCACACUGGGACUGAGACACGGCCCAGACUCCUACGGGAGGCAGCAGUGGGGAAUUUUCCGCAAUGGGCGAAAGCCUGACGGAGCAAGACCGCGUGAGGGAGGAAGGCUCUUGGGUUGUAAACCUCUUUUCUCAGGGAAGAAGCUCUGACGGUACCUGAGGAAUCAGCCUCGGCUAACUCCGUGCCAGCAGCCGCGGUAAUACGGAGGAGGCAAGCGUUAUCCGGAAUUAUUGGGCGUAAAGCGUCCGCAGGUGGCGAUUCAAGUCUGCUGUCAAAGCACGGGGCUUAACUCCGUUAAGGCAGUGGAAACUGAAUAGCUAGAGUGCCGUAGGGGUAGAGGGAAUUCCCGGUGUAGCGGUGAAAUGCGUAGAGAUCGGGAAGAACAUCGGUGGCGAAAGCGCUCUUCUUGGACGGCAACUUGACCACUCAGGGGAACGAAAGCUAGGGGAGCGAAUGGAAUUAGAUACCCCAGUAGUCCUAGCUGGUAAACGAUGGAUACUAAGGUGUAGCUUGUAUCGACCCGAGC
rnacentral:rRNA from 1 species